AUUUUAUUAAAUAAGAUAGGCUGUAAAGCCUUGAUAUUGAGCACUUUGGGGCGCUUUCCCUUAGUGCUUUUUGAUUUCU
rfam:Streptococcus sp. M334 cont1.39, whole genome shotgun sequence.